rnacentral:rRNA from 1 species
GAUGAACGCUGGCGGCGUGCCUAAUACAUGCAAGUCGAGCGGACAGACGAGGAGCUUGCUCCUCUCACGUUAGCGGCGGACGGGUGAGUCACACGUGUAUACCCUACCUAUAAGUCUGGUAAAAUUUCGGGAAUGCGGCGCUAAUACCGGAUAAUAUAUUGAACCGUAUGGUUCAAUAGUAAAAGUCGGCUUUUCUGUCACUUAUCGAUGGAUCCGCGCCGCAUUAGCUAGUUGUUAAGGUAACGGCUUAUCAAGGCAACUAUGCGUAGCCGACCUGUGAGGCUGAUCGGCCACACGGGAACGGGGACGCGGACCAGGCUCCUGCGGGAGGCAGCAGUAGGGAAUGGUCCGCAAUGGGCGGAAGCCUGACGGAGCAACGCCGCGUGAGUGAUGAAGGUCUUCGGAGCGUAAAACUCUGUUAUUAGGUAAGAACAAAUGUGUAAGGAACUAUGCACGGCUUGACGGUACCUAAUCAGGAAGCCACGGCUAACUACGUG